rnacentral:rRNA from 2 species
UGGGGAAUCUUGCGCAAUGGGCGAAAGCCUGACGCAGCAACGCCGCGUGCGGGAUGAAGGCCCUCGGGUCGUAAACCGCUUUCAGCAGGGAUGAAAAUGACAGUACCUGCAGAAGAAGCCCCGGCUAAAUACGUGCCAGCAGCCGCGGUAAUACGUAUGGGGCAAGCGUUAUCCGGAUUUAUUGGGCGUAAAGCGCGCGUAGGCGGCUUGUUAAGUCAGGUGUGAAAUCCGGGGGCUCAACCCGCGGCUUGCAUCUGAAACUGGCAGGCUUGAGUCUGGUAGAGGAAAGUGGAAUUCCUGGUGUAGCGGUGAAAUGCGCAGAUAUCAGGAGGAACACCAGUGGCGAAGGCGGCUUUCUGGGCCACGACUGACGCUGAGGCGCGAAAGCUAGGGGAGCGAACAGG